rnacentral:lncRNA from 1 species
GAGAAUCUGGGUGGAUUGCUUAUCUGUCAGAUUUGAAGAAUUACCAGAAGAUCGCAUUCCGACGGCAACCGCGUCGGAAUCAGUACCCGACCCCCUGGGAGGCAGACGCAUACCAUGGGAGAGAUCAGGUUUAGUUCGAACAGCAAAGUUGGAAGAAACCGGGGGAAGGUUAAGACCCCCCUUGUCUCGACCGAUGAUCGGCGAACUGGUGGCCAUCCGCCGGAAGGGUG